UACGGAGGGUGCGAGCGUUGUUCGGAAUCACUGGGCGUAAAGCGCGUGUAGGCGGCCUGCUAAGUCUGAUGUGAAAGCCCGGGGCUCACCCUCGGAAGUGCAUUGGAAACUGGCAGACUGGAGUCCCGGAGAGGAGGGUUGAAUUCCUGGUGUAGCGGUGAAAUGCGUAGAUAUCAGGAGGAACACCGGUGGCGAAGGCGGCCCUCUGGACGGUGACUGACGCUGAGACGCGAAAGCGUGGGGAGCAAACAGG
rnacentral:rRNA from 1 species